UACGUAGGUGGCAAGCGUUGUCCGGAAUUAUUGGGCGUAAAGCGCGCGCAGGCGGUCCUUUAAGUCUGAUGUGAAAGCCCGCGGCUCAACCGUGGAGGGUCAUUGGAAACUGGGGGACUUGAGUACAGAAGAGAAGAGUGGAAUUCCACGUGUAGCGGUGAAAUGCGUAGAUAUCGGGAGGAACACCAGUGGCGAAGGCGAUCAUCUGGGAUUAACCUGACGCUGAGGAGCGAAAGCCAGGGGAGCAAACGGG
rnacentral:rRNA from 1 species